ACUUUUUUGUUCCAUUUCGUGGACCAGAAUCCUAACUCGCCGGGGUCGCGUGCUAUUACGGAGGUUAGUUUGUGCUCUUCGCCAUUUAAUACGAGGUUACCAAAGGCGUGUAUUAUUGCAUUGCCCAUCUCCGUUCGGUAUCAAAUCACCACCAUCCAGACCACAUCCUGAUAAACCAAGAAUAACUGACAAACUCGCCGCCCCGGGCGACCAGACGAGAUCAGGUAAUUUCGUCAUCAUUCCCUGUAGUUCCGCUAUCCCCCGGCAAGGAGACAAGCAACAACGUCAAAGUCAAAACUGUCGCGUUUGGCGUGAAACAGUCGAAUGUUACAUUUCUUGCCUCGCCGUGCUUUGCCUUGAACAAAUGCAUAAACCACAAUGCUUCCAGUCAAUGGAAACUAGAUCCAUGCCGGAUGCUUGCUCGCCUGCUUGCGUGCUCACGACGUUUAUACAGCAACUGUUGUUCACCUAGAUUCCAAUUAUGCCGUCGAUCUAGGUUCUACGAGAGAAAAAGUGAAAAAGUGAAAGUCAUCAAGUUUGUUUGUUUUGAGGUCGAACAGUUGUGAUUUUUUAGAUCCGACUCGCCGUCGAGCAUAGAACAAGAGGGAAAAGUCUCCUGCCUGGGCUUCGAAGAAGGAACAAAAGAAAACCCUUCAAACCUUCCAUUUCCAUCCAGAAAAUCGUCUGGCCAGGUUAUCAAACCCAUGAACCGGUCACUUUCGUUUUUUUAUAACAAUUUUUUUCUGUAGCUUAACCGUCACUUCUUGGUCAAGAAAAAGGCUUAAGAAGACUAGAUACCUGAUAAAGAAAAGGCAGUGACUUGCUUUCCUAAUAAUUUAAAAAUCUAG
rnacentral:sRNA from 1 species